rnacentral:rRNA from 1 species
CCUACGGGAGGCAGCAGUGGGGAAUAUUGCACAAUGGGGGAAACCCUGAUGCAGCGACGCCGCGUGAGUGAAGAAGUAUUUCGGUACGUAAAGCUCUAUCAGCAGGGAAGAAAAUGACGGUACCUGACUAAGAAGCCCCGGCUAACUACGUGCCAGCAGCCUCGGUAAUACGUAGGGGGCGAGCGUUAUCCGGAUUUACUGGGUGUAAAGGGAGCGUAGACGGCAGCGCAAGUCUGGAGUGAAAUCCCAUGGCUUAACCAUGGAACUGCUUUGGAAACUGUGCAGCUAGAGUGCAGGAGAGGUAAGCGGAAUUCCUGGUGUAGUGGUGAAAUGCGUAGAUAUUAGGAGGAACACCAGUGGCGAAGGCGGCUUACUGGACUGUAACUGACGUUGAGGCUCAAAAGCGUGGGGAGCAAACAGGAUUAGAUACCCUUGUAGUC